rnacentral:rRNA from 1 species
GACGAACGCUGGCGGCGUGCCUAAUACAUGCAAGUCGAACGCACUCUCGUUUAGAUUGAAGGAGCUUGCUCCUGAUUGAUAAACAUUUGAGUGAGUGGCGGACGGGUGAGUAACACGUGGGUAACCUGCCCUAAAGUGGGGGAUAACAUUUGGAAACAGAUGCUAAUACCGCAUAAAACCUAACACCGCAUGGUGUAGGGUUGAAAGAUGGUUUCGGCUAUCACUUUAGGAUGGACCCGCGGUGCAUUAGUUAGUUGGUGAGGUAAAGGCUCACCAAGACCGUGAUGCAUAGCCGACCUGAGAGGGUAAUCGGCCACACUGGGUCUGAGACACGGCCCAGACUCCUACGGGAGGCAGCAGUAGGGAAUCUUCCACAAUGGACGAAAGUCUGAUGGAGCAACGCCGCGUGAGUGAAGAAGGUUUUCGGAUCGUAAAACUCUAGUUGUUGGAGAAGAAUGUAUCUGAUAGUAACUGAUCAGGUAGUGACGGUAUCC